GAUGAACGCUGGCGGCGUGCCUAAUACAUGCAAGUCGAGCGGACGGACGAGAAGCUUGCUUCUCUGAUGUUAGCGGCGGACGGGUGAGUAACACGUGGAUAACCUACCUAUAAGACUGGGAUAACUUCGGGAAACCGUAGCUAAUACCGGAUAAUAUUUUGAACCGCAUGGUUCAAAAGUGAAAGACGGUCUUGCUGUCACUUAUAGCUGGAUCCGCGCUGCAUUAGCUAGUUGGUAAGGUAACGGCUUACCAAGGCAACGAUGCAUAGCCGACCUGAGAGGGGGAUAGGCCACACUGGAACUGGACCACGGACCAGACGCCUACGGGAGGCAGCAGUAGGGAAUCUUCCGCAAUAGGCGAAAGCCUGACGGAGCAACGCCGCGUGAGUGAUGAAGGUCUUCGGAUCGUAAAACUCUGUUAUUAGGGAAGAACAUAUGUGUAAGUAACUGUGCACAUCUUGACGGUACCUAAUCAGAAAGCCACGGCUAACUACGUG
rnacentral:rRNA from 1 species